GACCGCUGCUCACAACCUAACACUAUUGAGGUAUGUUCUCGAAUCCCUUUUUUUUUAGUUUUACUAACAGUCCUCUGUUUUAAGUUUCACAAUUUUCUACAUGAGACUUAAAGACUGGAGCUCACAGCGUAGCAAACUAGCCACGUAUGCUCAUGAUUCUUAAUUGCUUAACAAUUAACUGACCGGCUUUCAUUUUAUUAUGUCAAGUUUUUCUACACGAGACCCUAAGACGGCAGCUCACACUUUGUCAUUAGUCAGAUAUGUUCUUGAAUCUUACUUCUUUUUAUGUUUACUAACCGAUUUCCGUUUUAAAAUUUAUGUUUUUUCUACAUGAGACUCUAAAGAUUGGUUAAGCGGAAUUUGACCAUGCUCAAGCAUUUUAGCAGAGUGUUGUUGUUGGAGCUGUUAUGGGUACAAAAAUGGAUGGUCAUGCAAAGGGUGGUGGAGCUCUUAGUGUUUUUUCUACACGAGACCCUAAGACGGCAGCUCACACUUUGUCAUUAGUCAGAUAUGUUCUUGAAUCUUACUUCUUUUUAUGUUUACUAACCGAUUUCCGUUUUAAAAUUUAUGUUUUUUCUACAUGAGACCCUAAAGAUUGGUUAAGCGGCAUUUGACCAUGCUCAAGCAUUUUAGCAGAGUGUUGUUGUUGGAGCUCUUAUGGGUACAAAAAUGGAUGGUCAUGCAAAGGGUGGUGGAGCUCUUAGUGUGUUCGUGUAACCCAAUUUGUCCAGACCCUAACCUGGAUGUGCCACACUAUGGGUAACCUGAAACAUGGGUUGGUGGGUCACUAAAAAAAACAUAAAAGCUAGAUAAAAAACAGGUUUGCAGGUUGAAAGCAGGUUGGCAGGUCGACACAAAUAACUAGACAGUUAGUCAUGUUGACGUGAAUGCCUGAGUAUUACCCAAACCCAUUUAUCUCCAACUACCUGUUUCAUGCUACCCAUUUAUCCCCAACUCUAACCUGUUUCAUGCUAGGUUAGUGUCAUGAUUCUCUAUCUGCGGCCCCUAGAUACUAGCAUUAUAUUAUUACACAACACACGUGAAUUGUACUAGCAUUAUAUGAGGAGGAUUGAAGAAGAAGAGCUUUCAUUAGACGCAACUCACAGCCUAGCACUAGUGAGGUAUGGUCUUGAAUGGUACUUUUUUUCAGUUUUCCGUUGCCUUCAAGUUUAAACUUUUAGGUUCUUCACGAGACUUGAAGACUAGCUCAUAGCCCAGCACCAGUCAGAUAUGUUUUCGACUUUCGUUUUAGAAUUUCAUGAAUUUUACAUGAGACCUGAAUGCUAGAUAAAAAACAGGUUUGCAGGUUUACUAAACGACUACUCUUUAUAAUCUCUGGUUCUUCUUCACAAGACUCAAAGGCCUAACACUAUCGAGGUAUGUUCUGGAAUCUUACAUUUUUUCUGUUUUACUUACCGUCAUCUAUUUUAAGUGUCACAUUUUUCUACAUGAGACUCGAAGACUGCAGCUCACAGCCUAGCACUAGCAAUGUAUGCUCAUGAUUGUUAUUUCAAAUUUAUUAUGUAAAGUUUUUAUACACGAGACCCUAAGACGGCCGCUCAUACUUCAGCAUUAGUUAGAUAUGUUCUCGA